rnacentral:rRNA from 1 species
CUCCGGGGAUAACAGGCUGAUACCGCCCAAGAGUUCAUAUCGACGGCGGUGUUUGGCACCUCGAUGUCGGCUCAUCACAUCCUGGGGCUGAAGUAGGUCCCAAGGGUACGGCUGUUCGCCGUUUAAAGUGGUACGCGAGCUGGGUUUAGAACGUCGUGAGACAGUUCGGUCCCUAUCUGCCGUGGGCGCUGGAGAAUUGAGGGGGGCUGCUCCUAGUACGAGAGGACCGGAGUGGACGCAUCACUGGUGUUCGGGUUGUCAUGCCAAUGGCAUUGCCCGGUAGCUAAAUGCGGAAAAGAUAAGUGCUGAAAGCAUCU